rnacentral:snRNA from 1 species
GUGCUCUCUCUGGCAGCACAUGUACUAAGAUUGGAAAGAUAGAGAAGAUUGGCAUGGCCUCUGCACAAGGAUGACACAGAAAUUCAGAAGUGUUUCAAUUGUUU